GCCAGCAUGGCAUAGUGGUUUGCGUUUUAGACUAUGACUCUGGAUUCCAGGGUUCAAAUCCCUGAUGAUC